CGAAAGUUAGAGUAUACAACAGAUGUACAUGUACUUACGUGGUCAUAAUCAAAUAGAAGCAUUUCCCACAAAGUACAGUUACGAAGCUUUAACAUCAAAUCUGCCACUUCUAAAACUAAUGACUUAUUUGUUGUGUGGAGGCUAUCUAUCCAUGCUGUAACGUCUUAAUAAUUAAGUAUGCCUUGACUGUACAGUAGGUGUACGUGUGUGUGUGUGAGGUCAAGGUUCAUUCAUUUUACCAAUUGGCUCAGCUUCAUUGUACAUGCCCUAAACACGAUAAUUACCAGUUGUUGUUGUUCUUCCCACGCCCAGUUGAGCGUCGGCGUCGGGACAGGAUCAACUAGCUCAUCAAGAUACUGGCUCUGAGAUAGUGCCUGCUUGUCAGAAGAAAGACGCAACUACUGGUUCCAUUGUCGGGUAUGUGUACAGCAAGGGAACGGUACUGGACAAGACAGUGGACUACUUGAAAGAGCUCGUGUUUCAAAACGAACAACUCACAGCCAGUGCCAAAAUCGCAGAGAAAUCAACCAAAGCUUUGAACCAAAUCCUAGUCCUAGAGAAAGAGAACGCAUUUCUUCGAGCACAGAUUAUCCAAUUCGGAAUCGAUGGAGCUGCCUCCUCUGGUCAGAAGCAACCUAACCAGCAACUUCUAAACUCUCCUCUGGCCAGAAUCUCCCCUUCACUUACUAUAGCUACAUUGUCAGUAUUAUUAUGUAUACAUAGUUUUAUACAUGAUAUUUGUGUUAUUGAACCCGAGCAUAAUAAAUUUAGAAAAAAAAUGUUGUGAACAUAGCUACGCCCAUUAUAAUUAUGUGCAGCCUAGCCUCCAUCUCAAGCCGCACUUCCUAGAAAGUUGGCCUGGUAGUGUAGACUGCUUGCGCAUGCGCUAACCAUUAGCUACUGGACAUGAAACUGUGCUGAUGAUGAACCUUUAUCAAGAACAAGAACACUGACUCAGGACGAGGAGGACUUUGACAAGUUCCUGGAGAGUGCCAAAGCUCAACAGCUCUCACUCUCCACAAAAGUGUCCCUAUAGUUGAGUGUGAGUGUGAGAGGCCAUAUAUAUAAGGAGGACAUACGUGUGUCGAGGCUUGAGGUGGCCCGUGUGCUGAGGGAGAGAAAUGAGUACAAAGAGGAGUAGCUCUCACUAUUGGAGCAGAUUAGGUAAAGGGUCAUCUUGUAGUGUUUGUAAAGCGGUCAUAAUAACAAACACAUGGCCUCGAUUCAAGGCCGCUUAAACAUGGCCAAUCAAGGCUACUAAAAUCACACUUUUAUAGCUAUAGCAAUAAUGUGUGCAUGAGGAUGCACUCGCUAUAUGCUCAUGCGCUACGUAACCUCAAGCAUGCAUUUAUACAUGUACAAAUGGCACUCAGCACAUGGGUCUUCUUGUGGGCGUCUAACCCAAGCAGUUGGGGCUAACAAUAAUUCGUUAAAAUGUUUUGUACAGCAUCAUGCACAUGCAUGCAUAACAAUACUAUAUAGUCCUAUAGGACCAUCUCAUAAUGAUCGGAUUGACAUAAUGAUGAAAACAGUAGACUAUAUACAUAUUUUUUUAUAUCAACAAAUUUGUGCAUCCAGAGGUCAACAAAAAAUAGCUAUAAGCUAAUACUAAUCUGAUAGUAUAAUGAUUUAUAAAGAGAGAGAAGUACAGUUAAUACACGAAAGAGUACGUUAGAGAGAUUACUGACAUAUUUAUAGAAGUGCGUGUCUAUAAUAGUGUAUAGAACUGUUUCAUACAAAUUCCUCUAUGAAUUCUUAAAUGGGGUGCUCCUUCUCAUCAGUUACAGGACAUUCACAAUGUGUCAAUUGUAUUUAUACCACCACUGACUUCUAGCUUCAUGAAUAUCACUAAUUAAAGCUUUAGCUACUGCAGGCAUGCAUGAAAUUUAAAGCCGUAAUCUGCUGCAAAAUAAUAAUUAUUUGUGUAUCGUCUGUUACGUCGCUAGUUUAUGCAGUUGACCAAUAACUGAUAAAAUGAAGGAGAACAAAUGCACGAGACAAAAGGCAGUGGAGCAGCUAGAGGCACAAGAGAGCCACCUGGAACAGGCCCUCUAUAGCUAUAUAAAUUAUAGGCGCAAAGGAACAAAGAACAACUACACAAAAAUAACAAAAACUAAAGUUAACCACAGGAAAUAACAGCAUAAUCUAAUUUCUAAUCUAACCAACAGAACCUAUAAAUGCAUGCACAUACAAUAACAAACAGAACAGGAAGUUAAAGUCUAUAAUCUAUUUACACAACUAAUUAUUAUACACACUUGAAAAAAACUAAACAGGACUAUUAAUUUAUACUAAGAGACAGUUAAAUCAGUCUGAUUAAAGAUUUCUAAGGUACAGACUCUUCACAAGGUCAUCAUUUGUAGGCCUGAAUUUAUGCUCACACUUUGGGCAAUUUGCCUCAAUCAAAUCACCUUCAAAUUCUUUCACACUUGACGCUCUUCGGCACAGAGGACAUUCGAACGGCAAGCUAUUGAUACUGGGAAUUGAAGCAGCCAGGUUUUUCGCUUUCUUGAUCGCCUCUAUCAAUGUAUGCUAAUACAUGCUAACACUGUGUAUCCAGAGGAGGUUCGACAGGUGCAGUGCAGCUCAAGCAAUUGGUCUCUGAUUACACGCUUGCAUGAGCGGAUAAUUAGUGUUCAUGCAAUCAAAGGCUAAUACAUACUAACACUGUGUAUUUGUACUAACAAUGAUUAAUAAUAAUGUUUCUCUGUUGCACAGGAUGAGUGCUGACUCGGCUCUGUUUAAGUCCACGAGCAAGAAAUCAAAGUGGCUCGACUAGUGAGUUGUGUCACGUCAGUUAGUGUGUAGAGUUGUAGUGAAGCUUUUCUUAUUCUAGUCACUCUAUAGAGAUUAUUAUAGAAUACAGUCAGGUUAAUUAAUGGACUCCAUAGCGGACCUAUGCCACCUCUAGAGUACAGCUAUACUGUUUCACUGUAUAUCUUGAAGUAAGAUUAUAAUCUAGUGCAAUAAGAUACUAUUAGUGUUAUGAUUCUACUAAAACUCGUUCUCAAAAGUUUCAGCCUAUAGCCUAGUUUUAUUUUAUUGCUCCCGUUACUUGCUGCUUAGCCAGAUCAUAUAUACUAUUGUAUAACACUCCUCUGGUUUCUAUAGAUCUUUAUUAUUUAUGUCAACAGCCGAGGGUAACACUUCAGUGCUCUAGUCCUCUGGUUUCUAUU